rnacentral:rRNA from 1 species
UCCUCCCUCUUUCUUCGUGCCUAAUACAUGCAAGUAGAACGCUGAAGGAGGAGCUUGCUUCUCCGGAUGAGUUGCGAACGGGUGAGUAACGCGUAGGUAACCUGCCUGGUAGCGGGGGAUAACUCUUGGAAACGAUAGCUAAUACCGCAUAAGAGUAGAUGUCGCAUGACAUUUGCUUAAAAGGUGCAUCUUCACCACUACCAGAUGGACCUGCGUUGUAUUAGCUAGUUGGUGAGGUAACGGCUCACCAAGGCAACGAUACAUAGCCGACCUGAUAGGGUGAUCGGCCACACUGGGACUGAGAACAGGCCCAGACCCCUAAGGGAGGCAGCAGUAGGGAAUCUUCGGCAAUGGACGGAAGUCUGACCGAGCCACGCCGCGUGAGUGAAGAAGGUUCUCGGAUCGUAAAGCUCUGUUGUAAGAGAAGAAAGAGUGUGAGAGUGGAAAGUUCACACUGUGACGGUAUCUUACCAGAAAGGGACGGCUAACUACGUG